UGGCUACUGACCCACUGUCCCCACUGCCGGUGGUAGAAGCACUUCAUCUCAUCAACUUUUCUGUUUUCAAAGGCUUUAUUCUGUGAGUUUUUAACACAUCCUCCUUUCUCAGGAAUGUCAGCCUCUGAUGUGGUUCCCUCUCACAUGUCAAGAAGCAUGUGCCCUCUGGUACAGAAAAGCAGCUGUGGUGAGACAAUCCCACAGGCCCACCACCCCAGACUGACUAGCCUGGCAGGAUAUUAAUGAUUAAGUGGUAAACAGAUAUGUAACCCUUUAUAAUCCUACUCUCUAUUGCCAUGACUAGGC
rnacentral:lncRNA from 1 species